CCUAGCCAUGCGCUCCCUCGUUUUGUUUCUGUUCUUCCCCGCCCUUGAAUUGUGUCACCUGUUUCUAGUUUCUUUUAUUGGCCUGCGUAUUUAUAUCUUUUGUUCCUAUGUUUCCCGCGUCGGUCUUUUUGUCGUCCUCUUCGUGUUGGAUUCCUCAGUAUGGCUUCUCGCCUGCCUGUUUUCGCAUUUGUUUCCGUUCUUGUAUUGCUGCUCUUUCAUAGUUUUACUUAUGUGUUUCCCCUUCUUGGUUAGCCUAGCUUUGUUUUUUUAAAUCAUGUAUUCUAGUACCCAGCCCUCUGAUUAUGUUUCUGUUUGUCCGUUUAAAAAACAAAGUUCGACUAACAGACUUGCAUCCUGCCCAGCUUGUCUCCGCGUUAUAUAAAGAUCGACUUUCGAAGAACGCAACGACUUGAACAUACGCGGUCGAGGACAUGCAUCAAUCUAACGAGGAUUUGCUCACAGCCUUGCGUACAGCCUAAAGUGUGCCAGGUUUGCUGUGCUGCCUGCUGCAGUGUGAGUCCCCUCCUGAAAUCCUUGCUGAGCCAGCUGCUUUGCCUGGGGCUAACUCAGGACAGCAGUUUGUAGGACCUAGGUCGGUGUCCACAGUCCUGACCCUCUGGGGGAGGGAUGCAGCCCUGGCAGCAGCAGUUGGUGCCACUCUGGACCUGCCAGACCCACUGCCGCCACCACCAGCAGCAACAGUUGGCAUCCCUCCGGAUCUGCAGGACCUGCUCGCAGCAGCUGCUAGCAUCC